rnacentral:rRNA from 1 species
CCCUUAGAUGUCCGGGGCCGCACGCGCGCUACACUGAAGGAAUCAGCGUGGCUUUCUCCCUGACCCGAAAGGGUUGGGAAACCCGUUGAAUCUCCUUCGUGAUAGGGAUUGGGGCUUGAAAUUGUUCCCCAUGAACGAGGAAUUCCCAGUAAGCGCGAGUCAUAAGCUCGCGUUGAUUACGUCCCUGCCCUUUGUACACACCGCCCGUCGCUACUACCGAUUGAACGGUUUAGUGAGGGCCUCGGAUUGGUCUCGGCCCGCUCUUUACCGGGCGGCGCCGUUGGUCGAGAAGACGCUCGAACUUGAUCGUUUAGAGGAAGUAAAAAUCGUAACA